GCAUCUUCCAUUCCAUGACCAGAGGCCAGCCGACCGUGCACGCCGUCGACGAGAGGGAGACACACAGGGCCUCUCCUUUUUACCGGGCCGUGGUGCACGCCGUUGACAGGAGGGCAGACGGCCAGACGGCGACCGGCAGUUGCGCCCGGAAAUCACGUUGCCACGGCUACUUUCUCCCCAAACCCCCCAACCACCUUCCCCCUCUCAUCCCAUCUCCGUUUCACGGUGCAUCCAUCGUACUACCACCACGGACAAGCGCACAUUCCCGUCCAGCCACUGCUUGAUUAAGGGUUGCUGCUCGGUACGAGGAAGAUGGUGCUGGCGGAGAGCAUUGGCAAGUACAGGGUCGGCCGGACCAUCGGCGAGGGCGCCUUCGCCAAGGUCCGGCUCGCCGUCGACGCCGAGACGGGCGGCUGCGUCGCGGUCAAGGUCAUCGACAGGAGCACGGUGCUCAGGAACAACCUCAUGUACCAGGUGAAGAGAGAGAUCGGCGCGAUGAGGCUUCUCAAUCACCCCAACAUAGUCAAGAUACACGAGGUGAUCGCGACAAAGACGAAGAUAUGUCUGGUGACGGAGUAUGUUCCGGGAGGGCAGCUCUCUGACAAGCUAGUAAGAUGGGCAUCUUCAUCAAGUAACAGUUCUUGGUUAUUGUUCAGGAGGUUUUUCUUAUGGUUACUGAAUUUUCUGUUUAAGAGUUACCUCAAGAGAUUGGACGAGAGGGAAGCAAAGAAGUACUUCUACCAGCUGAUUGAUGCUGUGGACUAUUGUCACCGGAGAGGCGUCUUUCACAGGGAUCUCAAGCCUGAAAACUUGUUGCUAGAUAAUCAGGGCAAUCUCAAGGUAUCUGAUUUUGGCCUCAGCGUGCUACGGAAGCCAGGGCAGUUGCUAUCCACAUCUUGCGGCUCUCCGUGCUACGUCGCUCCUGAGGUGAUUCAGCACAAGACUUACGAUGGGGCGGCCGCGGACAUCUGGUCAUGCGGUGUGAUCCUGUUUGAACUCCUUGCUGGUUAUCUGCCAUUCCAGGACUGCAGCUUGAUACACUUGUACAGAAGGAUAUCUCGAGCACAGUAUGCAUUACCGCAAUGGAUCACGCUGCCUCAGAAGAAGAUCAUCUUGAGGAUACUGGAUCCGUCUCCUAUAACGAGAGCGAAGAUAAAUGAUAUAUUCGAUGACGAGUGGUUCCAAGAGGGCUACAAUCCAUCAGUAAGGAGAACUGAGAGUGAUAAUGGUGAUGAUUGUGUUGAUCUUGAUGAGGCUGGCACAGAUAGUGAUGGCAGUCACAGCACAGAGGUAAGAGAAGCUGGGGGAGCGAAUCCAGAGCCUGAGCAGUUCAUCAACGCGUUCCGGUUGAUAGCGACGUGCAGAGAUCUCGACUUGUCAGGACUCUUCCAGGAGCAGAAAACAAAGCUCGGCUCGCCGCAUUCGGUGCAAGAAACACUGGAGAUAAUCACAGCUGCAGCCCAGGAUGUGAGCUUGUCAGCGAGGAGAAUGGGCAGCUCCAUGGUAAAGCUUCAGGACAUCAGAUUGCUCUCAAGAAGCAUGCUGGAUCUUACGCUCUCGGCCGAGGUGAAGUGCCGUGCCAUAUAUUCUUAUAUACCACUGGAGAUAGCAAUACCAUACAAUUUGCAAUUUGAUGAAUGCCACUGGAUGCGCUACUGACAUGUGGGAUCUGGAAUGUGAUCCAGGUGACACCAGCACAUUGCGUUGUCGAAGUGUCCAAGUCCAGCGGUGAUCUGAGAGCAUACAAAGAGUUCUGCACAAGCCUGUCCAGAUUGCUGACCGGGCGGGUGCAGCAGAAUGGCAGCUCAUCAGAUUUGGAGACCAACCAACUCCCAACUCUUGAGUAAAGGAUGAUUAUUUCUGUCAAGAGAGCAAAACAGCCGAGGUAGCACAACCUGCUAACAGAGUUUCCAGCUACGCUGAGCAGUUGGUUCUCGAAGAUUGUAAUGCUGCCCUGGU